rnacentral:rRNA from 1 species
CAGCAGUGGGGAAUAUUGCACAAUGGGGGAAACCCUGAUGCAGCGACGCCGCGUGAGGGAUGGAGGCCUUCGGGUUGUAAACCUCUUUUAUCGGGGAGCAAGCGAGAGUGAGUUUACCCGUUGAAUAAGCACCGGCUAACUACGUGCCAGCAGCCGCGGUAAUACGUAGGGUGCAAGCGUUAUCCGGAAUUAUUGGGCGUAAAGGGCUCGUAGGCGGUUCGUCGCGUCCGGUGUGAAAGUCCAUCGCUUAACGGUGGAUCCGCGCCGGGUACGGGCGGGCUUGAGUGCGGUAGGGGAGACUGGAAUUCCCGGUGUAACGGUGGAAUGUGUAGAUAUCGGGAAGAACACCAAUGGCGAAGGCAGGUCUCUGGGCCGUUACUGACGCUGAGGAGCGAAAGCGUGGGGAGCGAACAGGAUUAGA